UAAAAUGCGAGAGAGCGGCGUUUUUGAGUUUUGUUUUUUCUGCGCCGUCGCCGAACGUUAUUCCUGCCAACAUGAACGUUACAAAAAAUAAAAAAAAGAGAUGCUCGGCAGAAAGUUAUAAACAAAUACACUAUAGGAAAAAAAUAAAUAAUAUAGUAAUACGGAAAAAAAGAAUUGAAUUGAAUUGUUGUCUGCCACAGCGUCGCGACGCUUCGAGAAAAACCGAUUGCCGCCUGAUUGACCCGUGACCCACAUGAUUCAGUGCCACACGCCCCGCAGUUCUCUUUCAGCAAGAACAACAACAAUAACAACAAAUGAGCCCGCAAAAAAUAAAAACAAAACCAAGUCAAUGGCCUUUACGCAGGCGUAGUUGCAACCCACCCCACCACCGACUCUUGCCCCGCUUACCACGAAUGUGUUGUUGCCCGCAUGUUGCUGUUGCAGCUUUGCUGCUGCUGCUGCUGCUUACCGCUGAUUUGUGCGCUUUUAUCUGCAACUCUGCGCUGCUGUGACUCUCGACUUUGACAGUCGCCUCCUGCCCACCAAUUUAUGGGCGUGCGACACGCGAUUGAAAAUCGAAACAAGCGCCCCUAGACAAGCAAAUGUUCAUACAUACAAUAAGUAUAUAUAUGUACAUACAUAUAUCUGUAUCUGUAUCUUAAUGUAUAUACGGUUGACAAACGUCACUGCAGUUAAUGUGGAUUUGGGUUUGGGCCAGCAUUAGUUGUUGUUGCUGUUGGUUGUGCGCGGAAAGCGUGAGAAAAUCCAUGGGGUUGUUGUGGCUGGCGGCGGCUUAGCGCCUGCGGGUCGUCGUGAUAAAACUGAUCUGACCAGCUAUAUAGGAUUAUAAUGCUCUUUGCCAAUUUAUGUUAUACCUUUGUGAUUAUUCGUAGUUAAAUAUUUAAUUGUCAAAAACCUUUGCAAAGUUAAUCAAAGAAAAUCAUUUGUUGUUAUUUAUUGUAUAGUUGGUUAGAAAUUUAGAUUGUCAGCUUUCUUAGUAAUAAUAAUAAUAAUGAUGUUCUUCAAAUGAUUCCAAAAUGGUUUAGAGAAUAGCUAGAGAAUUGUUAGAGCUAAAUGCAUCUUUUAAAAACAUUAUGUGCAUAAAAACGUUAGGCAAAAUUAUUAAUUUUAAUGAGAAUCCAUAUCAUAGUACAUUUAGAUCAUAUAUCCAAACAAGGUUUUAUUGGUUUUUCUCUUGACAAAGGAUCCAAGUGUUACAUAACUUGAAAAACAGAGCUCUUGUAUACCCGAAACCAUUUGAUUUCAAGUGGAAAUUCAAUAUAUGUAUGUAGGCUUCAUGAAAUGUGAAGAAACACUUUAAACUAAUAGUGAAACGCAUUCAUUUUGAGUUGGGGCAUAAUAUGAGAUGAAAUCAAAUAUAUGUUUAUAUUAGAAACCAUUUAUAAAACAUCUAAUAUCUAAACAAACUGAGAAAAAAGUUGUUCAGAGCUGAGAUAUUGUCUGUGAGACAUUAUUUUCGUUAUGUGGCUCAAUAACAGGUAUAAAGAAGAGUUGAAGUUUAUGUUUAUGGUUGAGUGGAUAUAGCCAAAUCCUCUAGACUUCCCCUUACCAUCAAAGCAGCUGACAAGUGGUUAAAAUACAAACUUUAGGGUAGAGAGGAGACAGACUGCAGUUUUGGAGAUCAGUUGUUAGGGUCAUUGCACCCCCUUUACACUCACUGACUGACCCUUCGCCCCCGCAAACGAGUUGGGAAUAAACCUGCUAUUGCUGUUCAUAAAAUGACUUUGCAUUUAAAACAAAACAAAUUUCUCCUCCACUCAUUAAUGUUAAUUUCGAGUUUGUUUCUGAAGCCGGAACAGAAGCAGCAACAGCAGGCACCUUUUCAACCCUAUUUUCUAGUAGUAGUUUUGUUAUUGUUUUCACGCUUAUUUGGAAUGCCAAACGCAGCAACAACAUUUGUU